GUGGGGAAUAUUGCGCAAUGGGGGAAACCCUGACGCAGCAAUACCGCGUGAGUGAAGAAGGUUUUCGGAUCGUAAAACUCUUUUAUUGGGGAAGAAGAAGUGACGGUACCCAAUGAAGAAGUCCCGGCUAACUACGUGCCAGCAGCCGCGGUAAUACGUAGGGGACAAGCGUUGUCCGGAAUCACUGGGCGUAAAGGGCGCGUAGGCGGUUUUAUAAGUCAGAUGUGAAAGGUACCGGCUCAACCGGUGACGUGCAUUUGAAACUGUAAGACUUGAGUACUGGAGAGGCAAGUGGAAUUCCUAGUGUAGCGGUGAAAUGCGUAGAUAUUAGGAGGAACACCGGUGGCGAAGGCGGCUUGCUGGACAGAUACUGACGCUGAGGUGCGAAAGCGUGGGGAGCGAACAGGAUUAGAAACCCUGGUAGUCC
rnacentral:rRNA from 1 species